rnacentral:ncRNA from 1 species
GCGAGCGGAGUGCACAGGAAACUUGCACGCUCCGUUCUGAGAGGGGUAUCUGGAAAAGUACUAUAUUAAGGUUAGCAACUCGCUGGGUGCCUACUCUAC